rnacentral:misc_RNA from 1 species
GCUAACGGGAGCAGCUCUGG